rnacentral:tRNA from 2 species
GCACCCAUGGCUUAAUUGGAUAGAGCGUUGGACUUCGAAUCCAAAGGUUGCAGGUUCGAGCCCUGCUGGGUGUA